rnacentral:rRNA from 1 species
GACGAACGCUGGCGGCGUGCUUAACACAUGCAAGUCGAGCGGUAAGGCCCUUUCGGGGGUACACGAGCGGCGAGCGGGUGAGUAACACGUGGGUGACCUGCCCUCAGCUCUGGGAUAAGCCCGGGAAACGUGGGUCUAAUACCGGAUAUGACUCCAUGACGCAUGUUGUGGGGUGGAAAGCCUUGUGCGGCUGAGGAUGGGCCCGCGGCCUAUCAGCUUGUUGGUGGGGUGAUGGCCUACCAAGGCGACGACGGGUAGCCGGCCUGAGAGGGCGACCGGCCACACUGGGACUGAGAUACGGCCCAGACUCCUACGGGAGGCAGCAGUGGGGAAUCUUGCGCAAUGGGCGAAAGCCUGACGCAGCGACGCCGCGUGAGGGAUGACGGCC